AAGGAGCACCACGAAAAGCAUUCCAAUUGGUGGAGUGUGAGCCGUGAGGGGUUCUCGUCUGUAGUGGACGAAAACCGGGUGCACAACAGCAAAUAUCGCCAGACACACUAUUGGGCCCUGAGACAACACUCGGUCGAUCCGUGUGGAGUCCCUCCACCUUGGUGGUGGGGUGUGGUGUUUGAGUAUUGGAUAGUGGUUGCGAGCAUCUAGAUGAACGCGCGGUCCUUCGUGGCCGGCGUGUUUAUCGAAAUGUGUAAUUUCUUUUUUGGUUUUUGUGUGU
rnacentral:misc_RNA from 1 species